GUGGGGGUGUGAUAGUGGGCGGGCGUUGCGUGUGCGGUGUUGUGGGGCUCAUCUGGCCAUCUUCUGCCGGGGGUGGGGAUUGCGUGCUGCUUGGUUGGUGAAUGGCCUGGGAUGGUCGACCGAAGAGCGUGAGAGUCGUGUAGGCGGCUGGUGGUGCGUGGUUUGGGGUGGGUGCCCGAGUAGCGCGGGGCUCGUGGAAUCUCGUGUGAAUCUGCCAGGACCACCUGGUAAGCCUAAAUACUACUUGGUGACCGAUAGUGCAUAGUACCGUGAGGGAAUGGUGAAAAGUACCCCGGGAGGGGAGUGAAAUAGUGCCUGAAACCGGACGCUGUCAAGCCGUCGGAGCCUUGAGGGGUGACGGCGUGCCUUUUGAAGAAUGAGCCUGCGAGUCAGUGAUGCGUGGCGUGCUUAACCCGUGUGGGGGAUGCGUAGCGAAAGCGAGUCUGAAAUAUGGCGUUUGUCGCGUGUUCUGGACCCGAAGCGGGGUGAUCUACCCAUGGCCAGGUUGAAGCGAUGGUAAGACGUCGUGGAGGACCGCACCCACCAGGGUUGAAAACCUGGGGGAUGAGCUGUGGGUAGGGGUGAAAGGCCAAUCAAACUCCGUGAUAGCUGGUUCUCCCCGAAAUGCAUUUAGGUGCAGCGUUGUGUGUUG
rnacentral:rRNA from 1 species